rnacentral:rRNA from 1 species
UACGUAGGGGGCGAGCGUUGUCCGGAAUCAUUGGGCGUAAAGAGCGUGUAGGUGGCUUGGAAAGUCUUACGUGAAAGCCUGCGGCUCAACCGCAGAAGUGCGUGGGAAACUUCCUCGCUAGAGUCCGGAAGAGGAGAGCGGAAUUCCUGGUGUAGCGGUGGAAUGCGCAGAUAUCAGGAGGAACACCCGUGGCGAAGGCGGCUCUCUGGGACGGUACUGACACUGAGACGCGAAAGCGUGGAGAGCGAACAGG